rnacentral:rRNA from 1 species
AGAGUUUGAUCCUGGCUCAGAGUGAACGCUGGCGGCAGGCCUAACACAUGCAAGUCGAACGGCAGCACAGUGGUAGCAAUACCAUGGGUGGCGAGUGGCGGACGGGUGAGGAAUACAUCGGAAUCUACCUUUUCGUGGGGGAUAACGUAGGGAAACUUACGCUAAUACCGCAUACGACCUUAGGGUGAAAGCGGAGGACCUUCGGGCUUCGCGCGGAUAGAUGAGCCGAUGUCGGAUUAGCUAGUUGGCGGGGUAAAGGCCCACCAAGGCGACGAUCCGUAGCUGGUCUGAGAGGAUGAUCAGCCACACUGGAACUGAGACACGGUCCAGACUCCUACGGGAGGCAGCAGUGGGGAAUAUUGGACAAUGGGCGCAAGCCUGAUCCAGCCAUGCCGCGUGGGUGAAGAAGGCCUUCGGGUUGUAAAGCCCUUUUGUUGGGAAAGAAAAGCAGUCGGUUAAUACCCGAUUGUUCUGACGUACCCAAAGAAUAAGCCCC